UUAAGCGACUAAGCGUACACGGUGGAUGCCCUGGCAGUCAGAGGCGAUGAAGGACGUGCUAAUCUGCGAAAAGCGACGGCGAGGUGAUAUGAACCUUUGACCCGUCGAUGUCCGAAUGGGGAAACCCAGUGCAAUUCGUUGCACUAUCGUUAACUGAAUACAUAGGUUAACGAGGCGAACCGGGGGAACUGAAACAUCUAAGUACCCCGAGGAAAAGAAAUCAACCGAGAUUCCCCCAGUAGCGGCGAGCGAACGGGGAGCAGCCCGGAGUCUGAAUCAGCUUGUGUGUUAGUGGAAGCGUCUGGAAAGUCGCACGGUACAGGGUGACAGUCCCGUACACGAAAAUGCACAGGUUGUGAACUCGAAGAGUAGGGCGGGACACGUGGUAUCCUGUCUGAAUAUGGGGGGACCAUCCUCCAAGGCUAAAUACUCCUGACUGACCGAUAGUGAACCAGUACCGUGAGGGAAAGGCGAAAAGAACCCCGGCGAGGGGAGUGAAAAAGAACCUGAAACCGUGUACGUACAAGCAGUGGGAGCACCUUCGGGUGUGACUGCGUACCUUUUGUAUAAUGGGUCAGCGACUUAUAUUCUGUAGCAAGGUUAACCGUAUAGGGGAGCCGCAGGGAAACCGAGUCUUAACUGGGCGUUAAGUUGCAGGGUAUAGACCCGAAACCCGGUGAUCUAGCCAUGGGCAGGUUGAAGGUUGGGUAACACUAACUGGAGGACCGAACCGACUAAUGUUGAAAAAUUAGCGGAUGACCUGUGGCUGGGGGUGAAAGGCCAAUCAAACCGGGAGAUAGCUGGUUCUCCCCGAAAGCUAUUUAGGUAGCGCCUCGUGAACUCAUCUUCGGGGGUAGAGCACUGUUUCGGCUAGGGGGCCAUCCCGGCUUACCAACCCGAUGCAAACUACGAAUACCGAAGAAUGUUAUCACGGGAGACACACGGCGGGUGCUAACGUCCGUCGUGAAGAGGGAAACAACCCAGACCGCCAGCUAAGGUCCCAAAGUCAUGGUUAAGUGGGAAACGAUGUGGGAAGGCACAGACAGCCAGGAUGUUGGCUUAGAAGCAGCCAUCAUUUAAAGAAAGCGUAAUAGCUCACUGGUCGAGUCGGCCUGCGCGGAAGAUGUAACGGGGCUAAACCAUGCACCGAAGCUGCGGCAGCGACACUAUGUGUUGUUGGGUAGGGGAGCGUUCUGUAAGCCGUUGAAGGUGUGCUGUGAGGCAUGCUGGAGGUAUCAGAAGUGCGAAUGCUGACAUAAGUAACGAUAAAGCGGGUGAAAAGCCCGCUCGCCGGAAGACCAAGGGUUCCUGUCCAACGUUAAUCGGGGCAGGGUGAGUCGACCCCUAAGGCGAGGCCGAAAGGCGUAGUCGAUGGGAAACAGGUUAAUAUUCCUGUACUUGGUGUUACUGCGAAGGGGGGACGGAGAAGGCUAUGUCAGCCGGGCGACGGUUGUCCCGGUUUAAGCGUGUAGGUGUGUGUUCCAGGCAAAUCCGGUUCACUUUAACACUGAGGCGUGAUGACGAGGCACUACGGUGCUGAAGUGAUAAAUGCCCUGCUUCCAGGAAAAGCCUCUAAGCAUCAGGUAACACGAAAUCGUACCCCAAACCGACACAGGUGGUCAGGUAGAGAAUACCAAGGCGCUUGAGAGAACUCGGGUGAAGGAACUAGGCAAAAUGGUGCCGUAACUUCGGGAGAAGGCACGCUGAUAUGUAGGUGAAGUCCCUGCGGACGGAGCUGAAAUCAGUCGAAGAUACCAGCUGGCUGCAACUGUUUAUUAAAAACACAGCACUGUGCAAACACGAAAGUGGACGUAUACGGUGUGACGCCUGCCCGGUGCCGGAAGGUUAAUUGAUGGGGUUAGCGGCAACGCGAAGCUCUUGAUCGAAGCCCCGGUAAACGGCGGCCGUAACUAUAACGGUCCUAAGGUAGCGAAAUUCCUUGUCGGGUAAGUUCCGACCUGCACGAAUGGCGUAAUGAUGGCCAGGCUGUCUCCACCCGAGACUCAGUGAAAUUGAACUCGCUGUGAAGAUGCAGUGUACCCGCGGCAAGACGGAAAGACCCCGUGAACCUUUACUAUAGCUUGACACUGAACACUGGUCCUUGAUGUGUAGGAUAGGUGGGAGGCUUUGAAGCGUGGACGCCAGUCUGCGUGGAGCCGUCCUUGAAAUACCACCCUUUAAUGGCUGGUGUUCUAACGUAGACCCGUGAUCCGGGUUGCGGACAGUGUCUGGUGGGUAGUUUGACUGGGGCGGUCUCCUCCCAAAGAGUAACGGAGGAGCACGAAGGUUAGCUAAUCCUGGUCGGACAUCAGGAGGUUAGUGCAAUGGCAUAAGCUAGCUUGACUGCGAGAGUGACGGCUCGAGCAGGUGCGAAAGCAGGUCAUAGUGAUCCGGUGGUUCUGAAUGGAAGGGCCAUCGCUCAACGGAUAAAAGGUACUCCGGGGAUAACAGGCUGAUACCGCCCAAGAGUUCAUAUCGACGGCGGUGUUUGGCACCUCGAUGUCGGCUCAUCACAUCCUGGGGCUGAAGUAGGUCCCAAGGGUAUGGCUGUUCGCCAUUUAAAGUGGUACGCGAGCUGGGUUUAGAACGUCGUGAGACAGUUCGGUCCCUAUCUGCCGUGGGCGCUGGAGAAUUGAGGGGGGCUGCUCCUAGUACGAGAGGACCGGAGUGGACGCAUCACUGGUGUUCGGGUUGUCAUGCCAAUGGCACUGCCCGGUAGCUAAAUGCGGAAGAGAUAAGUGCUGAAAGCAUCUAAGCACGAAACUUGCCCCGAGAUGAGUUCUCCCUGAGACUUUAAGUCUCCUGAAGGAACGUUGAAGACGACGACGUUGAUAGGCCGGGUGUGUAAGCGCAGCGAUGCGUUGAGCUAACCGGUACUAAUGAACCGUGAGGCUUAACCU
rnacentral:rRNA from 1 species